AUUGAACGCUGGCGGCAGGCUUAACACAUGCAAGUCGAGCGGGGGAAGGUAGCUUGCUACCGGACCUAGCGGCGGACGGGUGAGUAAUGCUUAGGAAUCUGCCUAUUAGUGGGGGACAACAUCUCGAAAGGGACGCUAAUACCGCAUACGUCCUACGGGAGAAAGCAGGGGAUCUUCGGACCUUGCGCUAAUAGAUGAGCCUAAGUCGGAUUAGCUAGUUGGUGGGGUAAAGGCCUACCAAGGCGACGAUCUGUAGUGGGUCUGAGAGGAUGAUCCGCCACACUGGGACUGAGACACGGCCCAGACUCCUACGGGAGGCAGCAGUGGGGAAUAUUGGACAAUGGGGGGAACCCUGAUCUAGCCAUGCCGCGUGUGUGAAGAAGGCCUUAUGGUUGUAAAGCACUUUAAGCGAGGAGGAGGCUACUCUAGUUAAUACCUAGGGAUAGUGGACGUUACUCGCAGAAUAAGCACCGGCUAACUCUGUGCCAGCCGCCGCCGUAA
rnacentral:rRNA from 1 species